UCAAACCGGACAGCGUCUUACUGUGAGGCGACAACACUACCGCAGCACCACCACCGUAGCUCAUAUUAUCCUUAUUUUUAGCUAUAAAGAAGAAAAAUGGCCUCAUGUGCACACUAGACUUGAGAUUGUACCUUCAUUCCUAAAAAGAUCUUCCAUAUUUUCACCCUUCAUUCACUGCAGAGCAAAUGGUUUGUGUUCUUUGAACUAUCACAACCUCACAAAAAAAUAACAAUAGUCACAUAGAUUCCUGCAGGUCUGAAUAUGAGGCAGUUAAUACCAGUUCUGCACCAUUUACUUCAUCCUAACUAGUGCUUCAAGGAUGCUAACAAACUGUGUGAGUCUCAGCUGAUCAUUUAAGGCUGACAGGGAGAGAGGAGUGUUCCCUAUGUUAGACAUCUGGCUCCAGCUGGUUGACUUCAUGGGCAGUCUCAUUGGGUACAGUAAGUUUCUGUUUUGCACUUUUCUGUCUUUAGGGGUGUUUUGAACUCUGCAGUCUAGUUUCAAGGUGUGAGAUGCUGCGACAUUUUCCUGUGGUACAUUUGUCUGAAGACCAAUGGCUCAAGUGAAAUUCAGCUGCAAAUACAUGUAGUUGUCACAGAUGCACUUCAGACACGUAGAAGCAUGCAGUGCCAUGCCCACAGCUUCAAUAACCAAGUGCACGUGGGAAAAAUAAUCUCCAUGGCCUCCAAGGCAUGUAGAGACAGCAGGGAUCAGUAGCAGGAUGCCCAGAGGGCAAGUCGGUAGCAGUGAGAAUGCAGUGUACAAUGCCUUUAUUAAUGGUGUGUAUGGAUUGUUUCCCCCUUUGCAGCGUCUGUGGCACAUUAACCAAAACACAUACUGGAGCAUAUGAGUGAUCACACAAUAUGCAAGGUUUCCUUCGUGGCACAGCAUACUUAUAUAUGUUGAAGUUAUAUAAAUAUACACUGUACACCAAGCUUAAUGCAUAUUACUUACCCUGCCCCCUUGCACUUAUUUAUUGAAGCUGUGGGCACGGCCAUGGUGCUGUGCGAUUCUGUAGUGAGCCUGUAGCACCCAUAUAUCUCUGCAGCUGAAUCUUACUUCAGCCAUACGACCCCAAACAAAUGUACCAAGCAGCCUGAACCUUUGCAAACUGCUGUCUUACUCUAAAUCGCUUCUUAACUUACAUAUAUGGAUAAACAUAUUUAGGUAUACAGAGAUUAGACAGAUGCUUUUUACCUGGGUAGUAGACUGAUCCAUAUUAGACCCAUUCACCCUUUGUCUAUAAGCACAAUAGUGAAAAAACAGGGCAGAUAUAAGUAUACAAAAGUAGCAACAAGGUCGGUUUUCAGUACUAAAGUAUAGAGUAAUAAAGAGAUACUAAAAUACUAGGUUGACGGGGGUACAAUUUAAAUGAAAAUGAUAGUGUAACAAAAUAAAAAUGAUAGCACAAUACACGCACAUUACUUUUACACUGCCAAUACACGCACAUUACUUUUACACUCCCAAUACACGCACAUUACUUUUACACUCCCAAGUUCUUUGUCAUAUAUCUGAUUAUUUCCUUUUAGUUUAAACUUUUCCAGAAACUGAAAUGGUUUAUUAAUAUGGUGCAAAUAAACAAUGAAACUCUAUAACAUGAGUUGGUGUAUGUGCAGCUGUUAUGAUGUAAGGGUGUAUUGAAGAAAAUACAUUACGACUGUCUUCAAGAUGCAGAUAUUUUAGUGACAACAAAAUUAUACUGAGGAUAUUCUUAUAUAUGAAAAUUUUGUUUGGUCAUCUAUGCAGAGCACAUGAUUUAUUAUAGCAAAGUGUACUGAAAAUGUAAACCUGAAGCUGACAACAUGCAGUGUGCAACAGGCAGAAGCCCGGUGCUGAUUUCAUGCUAAGUAUGAGACGUUUAUUGCAUGACCACAGUAAUGUGAUAGACUUUGCCACAACCCCAUAUGUUUGAUAAAUGUUUGCCUUCUUGCUGUGUGAAAUGUUUCAGAGCAGAGACGUCACCCAAUCAGUGAUGUGUCAGCAAUAAUCUGUGUUUUAGUACACAAUGUCUGUGGUUUGUGACCCUGAUAUGCUGUGACUCUGUUUUGUUUUCUGUGCAGAAUAAACCCUGGGUGACCUUAACAGGCGAACAUCCAUUUUUGCAUCAAUGUGCUUCUUGUCAAAGAGGUGAACAAAAAUGAUGUCGCGUACAACUAACUAAAUAUAGGUCAAAUUUAUGUCAGUGUAACUUUACCAGUUGUAAACUGUAGGCAUUAUGCAGCAAUUAACAGCAUGCUGUUUUAAAGCAACGUUGAUUUUAAUGUACAUAAAAUAAUUGAAAUUAAUGUUUUGGUCCAUUGUAGGCAUUUCACUGAGUAUGCAGUAAUGCAUGUAGGCAUUAUUUCCUCCUGUAGCCUUAACACAUUGGCUUUGUCUUUGAUAUCUGUUACAAAGACUGAAAUUCCUGUGCCUGCAUGAAUGAGGCCAACAGAAUCUUGACACGCUGCACUUUUUGGAUGGCAGAGCUCAGAACAGACAUGCUGAUGGAGCAAGCUGGUGGAAUCUCAGAUGGACUGCUGUGAUGUAAACUGAAUAGUAUAUCAUGAAUGAUCAAUAAGAGAAACUGACUGCUGGCCAACUCGUUAACAGCGAAUCACAAACGAGCUAAACAACUCCUCUGAAAACCACUUUUAUUGAACCUGCAUUUGUCCUUUUUCUACUUUUUUGUGAUGAUAGAGUGAUUUAGUAGAUGUAAAGUUGGGGUGGGGAGGUGGGCUUGCAUCUUCUAUAGCAAGUGCCAGGGGGAACGGAGUUUCCUCCCUGCAAAAAAUGUUUUUGUUUUUGGUUCACUGAAAGUGUUUUUCAGCAGACCUGCUUCUGUUGAUUGGGAUUCGCUAUUAUUGUUGUUGCUGAUGAGUCUGCUUGAAUUCAUCAGUAAAUGUAAUACCAGGAUAGCUGUUAGUCAAGAUUUAAUGAACAACCAUUUUCUGCAACAGAAAAUUAUUUUAAGGCAAAGCUGCUGAAUUACUGAAAAGAUGUGUUUUAGAUUGCUUAAGUUUAAUGUACACCAGGGUUGCUUAGAUCUCUGGUUGUAAACUAAUAGUACAGAAUAAUGCGGCAUGGUAAUAAUAAACAGCAAACAAGGGACAUCAUGAAGAUGUUGGACCUGAUGCUUUCAUCUUUCUCUUGCAACACUUUAAAUCUUUGAAUCAUCUCAUUUGUUUCUAGAAGUGCCUGGAAACCAGGCUUGACAGCAGAGUGGCUCUUUACGCAAUAAUUAAAUGAAGGUGUAAGUAAAAUGUAUAAUAAAAUAUGUAACACUUGGCAA